AUUUGGGAAGUGGAGCUGACAAGAAGUUGGCAGGAAGCUGACACUGUGCUGAUAAAGGAAAAUAAGGCUUUGCAGUCUGCGCCAAGUUUCGUAGCUCCACUGCUGGACUGCCUCCAGGCCACCUAUAUCAAAUGAAGAAUAUUUGGUGUCUGAUUCUGCCCUGCUUUUCCCUUGGUGAGAGGAAAGUAGUCAAGACUGUCUAGCUAAAG